rnacentral:rRNA from 1 species
UACGUAGGCAGCAAGCGUUGUUCGGAGUUACUGGGCGUAAAGAGUGCGUAGGCGGUUUCGUAAGUUUGGGGUGAAAUCUCCCGGCUUAACUGGGAGGGUGCGCCGAAAACUGCGGGGCUGGAGCGUGGGAGAGGCAAGCGGAAUUCCUGGUGUAGCGGUGAAAUGCGUAGGUAUCAGGAGGAACACCGGUGGUGUAGACGGCUUGCUGGACCAUGACUGACGCUGAGGCACGAAAGCGUGGGGAGCAAACAGG